rnacentral:lncRNA from 1 species
AGAUCUAGGCCCUGGAGCCAGCGCAGGACAGAACGACUCAGGCGGGAGCUCCUAGGCGGAUGUGGAUACACCAGACAUUUCUUUGGCUUCUUUCCUGCGGGAACUGCUGGUGGUGUAGAUAAUUGUAGCUUUCACUCCUCAUCUAAGAAGCUUCUCUUGGGAGCAAAUGGAAACCAUCACAGAAAACCACAACUGGACACAAUAGAGAGAUCCACAGAUGACGAGAAGCCUGGCUCCAAUGGAUCCAACGCCAUCAUAGCUCUGCCACUAUGGCUCAGAAAACAUUGGGGGAGAGAGGGAGAAAAGGCUACAAGAGCUAGAGCACCAGAAAGUCUUCUGUGAAUCCAGUUCUCCUGUAAAUGGCUGCAUGAGCAAGACCACGACAAUGGCAACAUCAGUGGAUGUGCUUAUGUGAAAGGGAGAAAGUAUCACAGGGUCCCAUUCCCAGACAAAGAACUAUGGGUCACAAAUGACUUCUGGGAGAAGGAGAAUCGGCUUCUACUAAGAAUGAACACACUUAUUGGUUUUCCAGUGCGGAGGGGAAAGUGAUAUACAAAUGACUAACCAAAUCAGGUUCUAUCAAGAUACAUAUACACAUACACAUACAUAUGUGUGUAUGUUAAUACAUAUAUACACAUAUAAAUAUAAACACAUAUAUAUAUAUAAAACCUUGGAGAGAGAGAGAGAGCAUAAUAGUCAAGGAAAAUAUCAACUUGAGGAAUAGUUGGAGAAGUUGGAGUGGAGGGAGGGUAUCUGGGAGGGUGGCAGGGAGGAAAGAGGAGGUAGGGGUGAUACAAUACUAUUUUAAUCAAUAAAUAUGUAUUUUAAAAAUAAGAUAUUAGCUUUCACCAUGUCUAUGUCAAGUUGUUUAGCAUAUAUUUAGUACUAAUUUGUUGUAAUGUUAAUUUCUGCCUUUUUAAGUCCUUUGGGUUUUUCUUCCAAUUUAUUUAUUUAUUCACUUUACAUCUCUGGAUCAGCCCCGCUCUGCUCCCAGUACCCUUUUACACAAGAACCCCCAGUUAUGUGCUGGCUUUGAGAUAGACUGUAGCAGAUUUUUCUUCUUCUUCUUUUUUUAGGUUAGGAAUUAUUUAUUGAAUAAAUUAACAGUGGUAACUGU